UGAACUGCAGCUGCCAGGGGUUCCUCCAGAAGCUCCUCCCCCAGGAGUUCCCUUCAAGUGCCAGAAAUCUGGCCACUGGGCCAAGGAAUGCCCGCAGCCCAGGAUUCCUCCCAAGCUGUGUCCCAUCUGUGUGGGACCCCACUGAAAAUCGGACUGUUCAACUCACCUGGCAGUCACUUCCAGAGCCCCUGGAACUUUGGCCCAAGGCUCUCUGACUGACUCCUUCCCAGAUCUACUUGGCUUAGCUGCUGAAGACUGAUGCUGACUGAUCCCCUCAGAAGCCCCCAGACCAUCACGGACACCAAGCUUUGGGUAACUCUUACAGUGGAGGGAAGGCAGGAAUGUCAGGCCUCUGAGCACAGCUAAGCUGUCAUAUCCCCUGUGACCUGCACGAAUACAUCCAGAUGGCCUGAAGCAACUGAAGAUCCACAAAAGAAGUGAAAAUAGCCUUAACUGAUGACAUUCCACCAUUGUGAUUUGUUUCUGCCCCACCCUAACUGAUCAAUGUACUUUGUCAUCUCCCCCAUCCUUAAGAAGGUUCUUUGUAAUUCUCCCCACCCUUGAGAAUGUACUUUGUGAGAUCCAUCCCCUGCCCUCAAAACAUUGCUCCUAAUUCCACUGCCUAUCCCAAAAUCUAUAAGAACUAAUGAUAAUCCACCACCCUUUGCUGACUCUCUU
rnacentral:lncRNA from 1 species